AUGGAUUCCUUCCUCCACAUCACCUGUGGAGAGGAGCCGGGGGCCUGGUCCCACCAAGUGCCCAAGACUCCUGGUUUUUUUUCCCCUAUUCUGGACUCCUCACGCAGCCCCCAACAUCUCCUGGACGCAGCCACGGGAAGGGGAGGCCCUGACUCCAGGGCUGGCCUGCACGUCCCAGGAUGGGGAGGGACUUCCGCCCUCACGUCCAGCUCUCAGCCCCCGGGGGUGGACCAAGCUGGACAGGGUGAAAGGGGCAUUGUCUCCCAGCCCGGGCCGCUCAGCCCUCAGGUUUCCCAGGAGCGCCUUUGUGGUAGGCCUCAGGCCUCUACCCGCCCAGCCCCCAACAGAGAUGCUAUCCCGCGCCUGGGGCCCCCGCCCGAGGCUGGGGGAGAGCCGCUGGUGCACCCAGGGCCCGGUUUCUCAGGUCUACUGACUGCACUGCAGGACAUUGUGACCUUCAGUGCUGAAACCUCCCCGCCUCAUGCGUCCUCCGGAACCUCCUUCCGCUCCAGGCCCCCACAGCCUAGAGCCCAAAUCGGCCCCCGGCCCAGAAAGGCCCGAAGCCAAGUUAUGGGGGAGUGGGGGAAAGUGGAGGAGCGGGGAGGUAGCCGGCAGGAGGCCCCUCCCGUUCUUUUCCUUUGCAACGCGGGUGUCACUACCGAAGAGCCUCGAGACGUUCCUCAGCCUUCCGGCUUCUCAGCCUUUGAAAGUAGGGGAAGCGGGGGCGGGAACGGGGGAGCCUGCAGCCGCGAGCUGUUCCUGCUCCAAUUCCCCAUCCAGCCGACUCCCCAGGUCCUCCCGUUAUAUCCUUGCGGCAGCUUUAACCUCCCUGGCUCCCAGGUGUCCACAUUUUUCUCCAGCGCCUCCGGCCCCGAGUUUACUCUCUCCCGCAGUGCUCCCCCCUCCCCACCAGUUACCAUCGCCGGUCCCCCUCCUCCUUCGGGCCAGUCUCAGUCCCCUCCCCCACGUCGUCCUCAGCCCACACGCGCGGUGCGUGCACAUUUCAAGAACCUGGCGGACCCAAAAAAAAAGUGGUAG
rnacentral:lncRNA from 1 species